AGCAGUCUGUGCUCUUAACCACUGAGCCAUCUCUCCAGCCCCUUGAAUAUUCUUCACAGGUGCAUAUGGAUCUCAUAUAGGAGAAAAUGUUAAAGGUGCUGAUUGUGUAGGUGGGAGUCAGGGAGAGAAGUCGGAGCGGCUCUUGGUUUACAACAUUACAGCAGCAUGUUAUGUUGCUUGCCAGAUAAAAUCUAGGAUGCUCAAUUAUAAUUUAAUUGUCAGAUAAAAAGUUCAUGUGUGUGUGUGUGUGUGUGUGUGUGUGUGUGUGUGUGUGAAAAUGAGCUUUGGGAUCCUCGUUACCGUUUCUGCAUUCUGUAGCCUAACCUGAAGGUGUUGCUGCUGGUGGGGAACCCGAGGACCAGGACACUCAUCUCAGUAUUCCUUGGAGAAAGCCAUUCUGAAUUUGAGAGGAAUCUCAUCCCAGCAAGGAAAAGCUGACGACUCCCUCUGCAGCAGCCUCGGAGGUUAAGGAAGGCGUCCCAAGCAAGAGCCUGACAUUUAUCUUCAGGGCUCUGCUGCUACCACCAAGAAUGUCAACCUCAGCAGGGCAUGGUGGCGCAUGCCUUUAAUUCCAGCACUUGGGAGUUAAGGCAGGCAGAUUUCUGAGU
rnacentral:lncRNA from 1 species